GGAGUAUAUAUAAUUUGUUAGUAGCAGAAAAUGCUUGAAUCCCACAUAUCUACUUCCAGAUUUAUAAUUUCCUUUCCUCUUCAACAUUAAAUUAAACUAUAUAACUUCAAAGUUUAAAAUUUUAAUGUAUAUUGCUGCCAUCAUAUUUCAAGGAUUUGUUGGCAGCAUCUGCCAAUCGCUCCCUGGUGAACCUUACUAAAACUUGAAACAGUUUUCAAACUUCAUCAAAUCAAUACUGCCUAUUUUCACCAAGAUCAAUGAAUCUGUAGAGAAUAUUGUGUGAUGGGGAAAUAGGUAGCAUAAUUUGAUUAAAAAUGAGAUGCACCUAAGAGGCACCUUAUAAACAUGUGUGUAAAAAUCUAGGGAGAAUAAAUAAUGUCAAGAAUGCAUAUUUACAACGAAUUAUAAACAUGCUACACUGCACUAGUACAAGUUUCAGAAUGCAGUUGACAAUGACAAAGCCCAAGUGAACCUUACAGAAAGAAUUAGGGUGCAGACUGCAGAGACUAACAAUUCUGUAGAAGCAUUUCCCCAACUACUUGAAGCAGAGGUGAAAAAAUUUAUUUUAUUGUACCUUAGAAAUAAAUUCAAAAUUAAAAUAUAUUGAAUACCUUUAUAUCAGUGAUAGCCUGUG
rnacentral:misc_RNA from 1 species